rnacentral:lncRNA from 1 species
AUGGAGGUGGAGGCCAGGGCGGCUCAGAAGGCAUCUAUAGCCAGGGAAGGAGCUCUCCUCCUGGGCUUGAGAGAGGCAGACAGUCCCUGGCUGCGUGGUCUGCUCAGUGCGCUGGAAGUCACCUGGAGCCAGCAUACAUCUGACCUGGCCAAGGCCCAGGAACGGCUGCAGCAGCUGGUCGUGGUUGUCUGGCCCCCGUCGGAGCUGCUCUCUGACCUGCGGGGCUGGGUGGAGAAGGUGGAGAACAGGCUUGGGGAGGAAAGGGUGAAAGCCUUCCAGGCCACAGAUGCCUCCCAGCUGGCCGACACCCUACAGCACCUCCAGGAGCUGAAUGUGGGCGUGAGCUGUGGUCAGGUGUUGCUGGACUUCCUGUGGCAGUCUGGGCCGCCAAAAGCAGAUCCGGCAGACAUCUGCGUGUUCAGUUGGGAACGCACUCUCUUCACCGAGACGAUCGGCGAACUCAGCUCGAGCUGGGCGUGCCUACAGGGGGAGCUAAUGAGUCAGGUUCGUUUCUCACAGUAAAAACAGCUUUUUCUACUGAAUCCACCCACCCUCUAUGAUCAGACCUUAAGGUCAGCAGUUCCUAUGGUUAAAUACUGGUUAAUGCAGUCAAUCUUUCGGAUUGGCUGAAAGGAUCCCAGCCCGUGUUCCCUGCCAUAAUAACGUACAUCGUCCAACAAAACAUAAAAACUACGGCAGCCCACUUGACCGAGCAAAAAUCUCGGGAUUGAUUUGAGGGUUCAGUCCUCGAGUGACAGAACGUUUCCCAUAACACAAGCCUUGUCUGGAGUCCAACCAGUCCCAUGUUCUUAGUGUAGUAUUUGCCUCUGUUCCCCGAUAGAUCCGCUUGGUGGGAGAUAUGCAUCACAUGUGCUCCCACAGAGAAAUGCGAUUGGGGCGUAUUGGUGACUGGCUCGCACGUCAAGCUGCCGAGUUGGAGCGGUGGGAUCGCCCCGCCAGUCAAACCGAGGCUCGCAAGGCCCUGCUCGAGUGCCAGGUACACCGCCCUCCCAGCCGCCCGCAUGUUAAAGAGGCUUGUCUCUUUCCCUUUCUUUUGGAUCUCUAUUUCAGUGUUUCUCAACUGGUGGUUCGCGACCCAAAAGUGGUCCAAAGAAAGUGUGCCGUCCAAAAAAUGUAUAAUGCUAAAAUAAUACAUAUAUUUUUACUUUUACUUUGUUUUUUGUUGCUAAAGUAAUGUUCUUUGAUUGCAGGGAUGAAAAUAUUGGUUUAUUUAUUCAUGUUUGAAAAGGCAUGAUCAUGAUGACAUUUUGUCUGUGUGUUUGCUAGGCCAGUUUGAGAAACAAAUUUGCCUGGUUUGAAAUGUGUGAAAGUGGAUUGCGACUUAAUGACCAUGGGACAAUGUGGGAUCCAAGGCCAGACCAGUUGGAUUCCACUGCUCUAUUUGGUUUACACUUUGAAUUGCUGAACACCCCUCUCCCCCAAGGCCAUUGAGGGGAGAGAAAAGGAGGUGAGGGCAACAGUGCAGGAGCUGCAGGAGCUGCAGGAGCUGCGUGCUUGUGAGCCGGAGGACCCCCAGCAGGAGCAAGAGACACAGCAGCGGCAGGAGAAUCCCAGGGACAGUGCGUUUGCUUCACGGGUAGUGGGCGCCACUCAAGCCUGCAUGGCGCUGACCCAGAAGGUACUAAUGAAUAAUUGAACCAAUGGGCUUUACUGAUGCACUUUAAAGAACACGGAUUGAGAUUUGUGAUACUUUCUAAAGUCAUUUAAGAACUGGGAAGUUGUGCUACAUGUCCUUCCUCUUUUUCCCUUCUCUUCUUUGGGAUGUUCCAUUAUGCUCAGAGUACACAGUCUAAUACUAGCCUUUAUUUAUACAGUGCAGAUACAUUUCCAAACACACCUUUAAAACCUGGCAAAGUAUGAGCCAGGUUUUAAAUGUGAUUGUCAAUGGCGUGGUGUUUACUAUAGUGUUGUGAGAUGUUUGUAU